rnacentral:rRNA from 1 species
CCUACGGGCGGCAGCAGUGGGGAAUAUUGGACAAUGGGGGCAACCCUGAUCCAGCCAUGCCGCGUGUGUGAAGAAGGCCCUCGGGUUGUAAAGCACUUUCAGUGAGGAAGAACGCCUGGUGGUUAAUACCCAUCAGGAAAGACAUCACUCACAGAAGAAGCACCGGCUAACUCCGUGCCAGCAGCCGCGGUAAUACGGAGGGUGCGAGCGUUAAUCGGAAUUACUGGGCGUAAAGCGCGCGUAGGUGGCUUGAUAAGCCGGUUGUGAAAGCCCCGGGCUCAACCUGGGAACGGCAUCCGGAACUGUCAAGCUAGAGUGCAGGAGGGGAAGGUAGAAUUCCCGGUGUAGCGGUGAAAUGCGUAGAGAUCGGGAGGAAUACCAGUGGCGAAGGCGGCCUUCUGGACUGACACUGACACUGAGGUGCGAAAGCGUGGGUAGCAAACAGGAUUAGAUACCCUGGUAGUC